ACCGGAAUCAGUGGAACCAACAAUAGUUAAUGCGGCAAUUCAUCAAUCAAGUGGACUAGAGAAAAUAGUAAUUUUGUAGAAUUUGAUUAAAUAGUUUUUAGAUAAGAAUCAAUUGUGUGUUUGCAAGGACAUUGCAUAGAUAGGAGUGGGGCUAUGUAGAAUAGAUAUUAGUUCGUUUCUGUAAGAUAUUGGUAAAAUAGACUAAUAGUCCAUAGAAUAGUUAGUUCAGGAGGACGGAUGAUUGAUUUAAUUAUUAAAAGUGGUUAAUUAUAGGAUUACGGUUAGAAUCUGGAAAUCGAGAGCAAUUAUAUAGGAGUUAUAGAAGUUAGUAUGAAGGCCAGACUGUGAUAGUCAUGAGCCAAGGUAAGCUUAGUGCUACCUCUUUACCUCUUUGUCUCUUUGUUGUUGAAGAAUAAUAGAUAGUUUCUAAAUAUUGAGAAGUGAAUCUGUAGAAUAAAUCAGAGAUUGAUUUAUGAAUUAUUGAUUACGUAAUUAGAGUACUCAGUGAUUGAAUUAUAUGAGGAGUUAUUGAAAGAUUAUGAUUGUUGUUUAUUGAGAGCUGUGUGUGUUUGGACAAAAAAAGUCUAUGAUUACAAAAAUUCUAUGAAUUCAGAUUGAUUGAAAGGAAGUCUGUUAUUUCUAGUG
rnacentral:lncRNA from 1 species